GAGAAAGGUCGUUUCACAGCACCCUGUCCUUUUUGAUAAAAGACGGGAUGAUUUUAUGAACGAUGAAUUAAAGGACAACGUCUGGCAGUCCAUUGUCCAGCUUGGUGGCUGCGGUGAGAGUGUGCUUUGAGAGUUCAUCGUAACGCAGACGUGUCAAAGACGAUGAAGUCUCUGGGUGUUGCAGUUUAAAGGCCCGAGCAGAUCCAAACACACGAUGGCUGGAGCCUCGAGGCUGGGACUCGGUGUUGGUUCGCAAUGAAAGCACUGUUGUACAGGUUGACAGGGGUUUGGCUACACGGGGCCAGCAUUUGUUCAGGUGCGUGUCAAACCUGAAACCGCAGUGUCGGCGUGAUGGGUGACAACAAAAGACACCACAGCUGUGUGUGCCACAGCCCGGCGAUGAUUGGCGGAUCACAAAGGUCCUCGUUCGUAAUUGGCUGCAGCCGAGGGUGUUCGGCUUUUAAAGGGCCAAGAUGGCGAUUGCCGGCGAGCGAGUAGGCAUACCUCACCUUCCUCCUCUCCCAACCGGCCACACGUUGUAGUAUUGUAGUAUUGUCGGAUUGUUUUGAACCAUCAUUUUGUGUAGAUUGUUGAAUAGUAAGGGUGGACUGCCAGUUUUGUUACUCACCCUUUUUCUCCUGUUUAUUUAGUUAGGGAGAUAAGCUUUUUGUCAUUUGUUUCUUAUUAUUUGGUCAGGUGAUUUACUUACUCCCUUGACAGGAUUGUUUUGUUUGUUAUUUUGGCCUUGGGUCCACCCUGACGUUAUUAUUUCACUCACUUCUGUUAUUCAAUUAUUGUAAUAAAUCCACAUUA